rnacentral:miRNA from 1 species
ACCUCCUCCCAUCAAUCACAAAUGUCCUUAAUGGCAUUUCCUAUUCAACCACAUGAAGAGGU